AUUGAACGCUGGCGGCAUGCCUUACACAUGCAAGUCGAGCGGCAGCGCGGGGGCAACCCUGGCGGCGAGCGGCGAACGGGUGAGUAAUGCAUCGGAACGUGUCCUCUUGUGGGGGAUAACCAGUCGGAAGACUGGCUAAUACCGCAUGAGAUCGCAAGAUGAAAGCAGGGGACCCGCAAGGGCCUUGCGCGAGAGGAGCGGCCGAUGCCUGAUUAGCUAGUUGGUGGGGUAAAAGCCUACCAAGGCUACGAUCAGUAGCUGGUCUGAGAGGACGACCAGCCACACUGGGACUGAGACACGGCCCAGACUCCUACGGGAGGCAGCAGUGGGGAAUUUUGGACAAUGGGGGCAACCCUGAUCCAGCCAUGCCGCGUGUGUGAAGAAGGCCUUCGGGUUGUAAAGCACUUUCGGCCGGAACGAAAUCGCGCGGGUGAACAUCCCGCGUGGAUGACGGUACCGGAAGAAGAAGCACCGGCUAACUACGUGCCAGCAGCCGCAGUAAUAC
rnacentral:rRNA from 1 species